GGGCGAAUGGUUUAGUGGUAUAAUACUCCCUUAGCAUGUAUAAUCGUCUGGGAGUGGUCCAGGGUUCGAUUCCCUGUUCGUCCA